AAAUAGAUCCGGGUUGAUAGAGCUUCCAUCCUGAUUCAUCCGAAUGGGGCGGUAAGUGGAAACAAAAAAUAUAGAAAAAUAUAACUCGUCUCAAUCCGCGAAGUAAAUGGAGCGGAAGGUGGGAGACCCUUUUCUUCCUUCGAUCCACAAUGAUCCGUCAAAAAUUCGUAAAAAAUCUGCUCCUGUCCCGAUCUGCCCCGAAUGAAGCAGUAAGUGGAAGCCAAAAAUAAAAUAAAAAAUAAUCCACCCCGCCCCGACAAGAAAUGGAGCAGGAGAUGGGGAACCCUCCUGCCCUCGAAUCUACCCUUUUUGCAUCCCUAAUCUUACAUA
rnacentral:lncRNA from 1 species